GUAGACGCUAUACUCUAAGAUUAACCCAUGCAUGUUUAUUGAAUAUAAAGAAAAGACGAACAGCUCAGUAACUCUUAUUUGAUUUGAUGUAUUAGGAUCCUAACUAUGUUAAAUUAUAGGUAACAAUAAUACAAUAAGAAUAAGAUCUAUCAGUUAGUUGUUAAGGUAAUGGCUUAACAAGACUAUGACGGAUAACGGUAUUACUUUGUAAUAUUCCGGAGAAGGAGCCUGAGAGAUUGCUACUAAGUCUAAGGAUUGCAGCAGGGGCGAAACUUGACCUAUGAUAUUAUAUUGAGGCAGUUAUGAGUAGUAUUUUAUAAUUAUUGUAGUAUUGUAAGUACAUAUUACAAGAUAAAUCGGAGGGCAAAUCGAGUGCCAGCAGCCGCGGUAAUACUUGUUCCGAUAGUGUGUAUGAUGAUUGAUGCAGUUAAAAAGUCUGUAGUUUAUUUUAUAAUAAGCAUUGUAAGGUAUACUGUAUGGUUAGGAGAGAGAUGAAAUGUGAUAACCCUAACUGGAUGAACAGAAGCGAAAGCUGUAUACUUAAAUGUAUUAUUAGAACAAGGACGUAAGCUAGAGGAUCGAAGAUGAUUAGAUACCAUUGUAGUUCUAGCAGUAAACUAUGUUGAAUCAUAGAUAUAUUUUGAUAUAUAUUUAUGUAGAGAAAUUAAGAUUAUAUUGACUCUGGGGAUAGUAUGAUCGCAAGAUUGAAAAUUAAAGAAAUUGACGGAAGAAUACCACAAGGAAUGGAUUGUGCGGCUUAAUUUGACUCAACGCGGGGUAAUUUACCAGGUAUAACAUGAUAUAAUAUUUUAUCAUGAUAGUGGUGCAUGGCCGUUUUCAAUGGAUGCUGUGAAGUAAUGAUUAAUUUCAACAAGAUGUGAGACCCUCAUUUAGACAGAUGUAGUGAUACAUAUGAAGGAGAGGAUUAAAACAGAUCCGUUAUGCCCUAAGAUAAUCUGGGUUGCACGCGCAAUACAAUAAUAUUUGAUAUUAUAAGGGAUAAUAUAAUGUAAGAUAUAUUUGAACAUGGAACUGCUAGUAAAUUUUAUUUAAUAAGUAGAAUUGAAUGAGUCCCUGUUCUUUGUACACACCGCCCGUCGCUAUCUAAGAUGGUAUUAUCUAUGAACAAAUUUAUAAAGUGAAUAGAUAGUACUAGAUCUGAUAU
rnacentral:rRNA from 1 species